CUAGCCAGUUCAACUUGUUGAAACAUUUUAGUCGUCUUCCAUUUUUCAGAGAUUUGCUUCUUGUUUGGUCCGUCUGAAUUGUAAAAUUGCCUCUUCCUAUCAGAAACAAUGGGAGAAGAAGGUAUUGUUGACUCGGAUUCUUUUGCAAAGAGGUCACCACCGCUGGCUUCAGAGCUUGGAUCCUCUGUGGACGGGCUAACGAUACCAUGUCCCACUUUUGUGGUUCUUUCUCUUAAAAAUCUAAACCUUGGUCUAACAGAUCCCAUGGCAUUUGCAAAGUUUUUACAUUUUUUCACUUCAGCAUAUAAAUUCCCAUUGUAAGGACUUAGAAUCCCAUUUUGCUUUCCAUUACCUGGAU
rnacentral:misc_RNA from 1 species